rnacentral:snRNA from 1 species
AGAUGUGUGGGUGAUCUGGCUGCCACAUCUGUCACCUCAUUGAUCACCAGGGUUAAUUGGGGGGGGAUCUGGCUGCCUAGGCAGGUGUCCCCCUUCUCCCUCACAGAUCCAUGUGUGUCCCUCCCGAAGCUGCACCUUCCCCCCAGAAGAGAGGACCGGUCUUCGGUCAAGGGUAUACCAAUAGCUGCACUCCCCUGCUAGAACCUCCAAGCAAGCUCUCAAGAAUCCUAAUUUGCAAGCCCACAGGAGGACAUUUUCUAAGAAAAAGUCUAAUAUUUACGUGGAUUA